rnacentral:rRNA from 1 species
CCUACGGGUGGCAGCAGUGAGGAAUAUUGGUCAAUGGGCGGGAGCCUGAACCAGCCAAGUCGCGUGAGGGAAGAAGGUACUGAGUAUUGUAAACCUCUUUUGCCAGGGGACAAAGGCGGCCACGGGUGGCCGUAAGAGGGUACCUGGAGAAAAAGCAUCGGCUAACUCCGUGCCAGCAGCCGCGGUAAUACGGAGGAUGCGAGCGUUAGCGGGAUUUAUUGGGGUUAACGGGUGCGCAGGGGGCGGGGAAAGUCAGCGGUAAAAUGUCGGGGCUAAACCCCGGCCGGCCGUUGAGACUGGCUUGCUCGAGUUGGAGAGAGGUAUGCGGAAUUCGUGGUGUAGCAGUGAAAUGCAUAGAUAUCACGAAGAACCCCGAUUGCGAAGGCAGCAUACCGGCUCCACACUGACGCUGAGGCACGAAAGCGUGGGUAUCGAACAGGAUUAGAUACCCUGGUAGUC